rnacentral:rRNA from 1 species
GGGCUGCGUCUUCGGAUGUGGUGGGCGCGUUCAACACGGUGUGUCGCAUUUUAAAUUUCUGGGAGGAUUGACAGACUGAGGCCUUCGGGGCCCAGUGCGGUUACGCAAACCAGCUCGGAGACGCCAAUGCGAGCCCCGGGAGGUGUUUUCUUUUCUCUGUAAGGUGAUCGAGUCCCUGGAAUGGGUUCGCCCCGAGAUAGGGAUGGUGGCUCCGUAGAGCAGUGCGGCUCUUGCGCUGUCCGGUGCGCUCGCGUCGGCCAUUGAAAAUCCAAGUGAAGGAGUGUGAUUUCCAUGCCGAAUCGUACCCACAUCCGCAGCAGG